rnacentral:rRNA from 1 species
UACGUAGGGCGCAAGCGUUGUCCGGAAUUAUUGGGCGUAAAGAGCUCGUAGGCGGUUUGUCGCGUCUGCUGUGAAAACCUAAGGCUCAACCUUGGGCUUGCAGUGGGUACGGGCAGACUAGAGUGCGGUAGGGGUGACUGGAAUUCCUGGUGUAGCGGUGAAAUGCGCAGAUAUCAGGAGGAACACCGAUGGCGAAGGCAGGUCUCUGGGCCAUAACUGACGCUGAGAAGCGAAAGCAUGGGGAGCGAACAGG